rnacentral:rRNA from 1 species
UGGGGAAUAUUGCACAAUGGGCGCAAGCCUGAUGCAGCCAUGCCGCGUGUGUGAAGAAGGCCUUCGGGUUGUAAAGCACUUUCAGCGAGGAGGAAGGUGGUGAGCUUAAUACGCUCAUCAAUUGACGGUACUCGCAGAAGAAGCACCGGCUAACUCCGUGCCAGCAGCCGCGGUAAUACGGAGGGUGCAAGCGUUAAUCGGAAUUACUGGGCGUAAAGCGCACGCAGGCGGUUUGUUAAGUCAGAUGUGAAAUCCCCGGGCUCAACCUGGGAACUGCAUUUGAAACUGGCAAGCUAGAGUCUCGUAGAGGGGGGCUAGAAUUCCAGGUGUAGCGGUGAAAUGCGUAGAGAUCUGGAGGAAUACCGGUGGCGAAGGCGGCCCCCUGGACGAAGACUGACGCUCAGGUGCGAAAGGCGUGGGGCAGCAAACAGGAUUAGAUACCCUGGUAGUCCACGCUGUAAACGAUGUCGAUUUUGGAGGUUGUGCCCUUGAGGCGUGGCUUCCGGAGCUAACGCGUUAAAGUCGACCGCCU